CUCUGUAACAAAUAAUAGUAAAAAAUAAACGAGGGUGAUAAGUUAUGUUUACUUUUGUUUCUGAUGCCAGACAUAGGUUCAGAGGAUUGAAGAGGAAGAUCCAAGGAGCUAGCCUCUCAAGAGGAGUGAAUACCUAGUCACUGCAUUUCUCCAUUUGAACUGGCCACCUUUUAAGUGGUCAUUAGCCACAUGUGGCUACUAGCCAUGGGACUUGGACAGCAGAGGUGUGGAAAGUCCGCACAUUCUUCCACUCAAAGGAUAUUCCCCUGCCUUUUUGAAGAUAAUGACCAUUCAUCUGAGUACACAGUUCGCAGAAUCCCUUUGCAGUGGCACAUGCGGGCCAAGGUAGUAGAGCAUAAUAGAUCUCUAGAAGGCCAGUAGAAACAGCAGGUGAUGGCCCCAGCUCCUGUCCCUCCAUGCAGAACAUCUGUCAACUCCUGUGGACAUAUUUUCCUCCCCCAUUCCUAUGAAAGUUUCUCAGUUGUUACAUGGCAUGGACAAAUGCUUUUGGCUGGUGGCAUGGACACACUGGACAAACUUGGCCUUCGCUAAAACAAAGACUGGAUUCAAUUACUCAAACUGAAACAGGAAUUCUUGGAUGAACAAGCCUGCCAGGAAGUCCCACUGGAGGUACUCAACCUGUGCCUCUUCCCUCUUUGGACCAAGAACCUUAACUUGAGAGAUGAAUGGCUUAUCCAAGGUUAUGGCAAGGUUACACAGAGCUGAAA